rnacentral:rRNA from 1 species
UACGGAGGAUGCGAGCGUUAUCCGGAUUCAUUGGGUUUAAAGGGUGCGUAGGCGGUUCCUUAAGUCAGUGGUGAAAUCCUGCGGCUCAACCGUAGAACUGCCAUUGAUACUGAGGAACUUGAAUUUAGUUGAGGUAGGCGGAAUGAGUAGUGUAGCGGUGAAAUGCUUAGAUAUUACUCAGAACACCGAUUGCGAAGGCAGCUUACCAAGCUACGAUUGACGCUGAGGCACGAAAGCGUGGGGAUCGAACAGG